GCAACGAGCGCAACCCCUGCAUUCAGUUGCCAUCGGGUAAUGCCGGGCACUCUGGAAGGACUGCCAUCGACAAGAUGGAGGAAGGUGGGGAUGACGGUCAAGUCAUCAUGGCCCUUAUGUCCAGGGCGACACACGUGCUACAAUGGCCGGCACAACGGGAAGCGAGUUCGCGAGGACGAGCGGAUCCCUCAAAGCCGGUCGCAGUUCGGAUUGAAGUCCGCAACUCGACUUCAUGAAGCUGGAAUCGCUAGUAAUCGUGGAUCAGCCAAGCCGCGGUGAAUACGUUCCCGGGCCUU
rnacentral:rRNA from 1 species